rnacentral:rRNA from 1 species
UACGAGGGGGGCAAGCGUUGUUCGGAAUUAUUGGGCGUAAAGGGUGCGUAGGCGGCGCGGUAAGUCGGGUGUGAAAUCUCGGAGCUUAACUCCGAAACUGCAUUCGAUACUGCCGUGCUUGAGGACUGGAGAGGAGACUGGAAUUUACGGUGUAGCGGUGAAAUGCGUAGAUAUCGUAAGGAAGACCAGUGGCGAAGGCGGGUCUCUGGACAGUUCCUGACGCUGAGGCACGAAGGUCAGGGGAGCAAACGGG